AAUAAUUGCGUAAACUCUGGAAUGUGAGGAGGGGCAGUGGCGGCCGAACCUGUGCGGACUCGGCGACGGCGACGCCGACGUCAGAGCUGGCGCCCUCCUCCGCCGUCGCCAUGGGGGGCCUCGGCGCGACGGGACGCACCCUUUGGGCCACGGGAUCAGCGGGGCGCGCGAAAUGCGACGUCGGCGGCGAGGAUUGCGGUGUCCUGGAUCGCCUCGGCGAAGCUGACGACGGAGCGGCGGCAAAGCGCGGAGGUGGUGCGAGCAGGAACGAGGGACCGGCGUGGAGCAACAUUUGCGUCCGCGUUUGGAUUCGGAGGGAGAGAGAAGGCGGGGAGAUUCUCAGGAAGAGAAAGUGAGAAACGGAAGAACUAGAAGAGUGCUUGUUUGGCUAAUAGCUACCGUGGCCAUCUUAUCUCUUUUCUUUAUCUUCUCAUUUCUAUACACGUAAUGUUGUUUUCGUCAAGACUUCCCCGUUAAGGUAUAUCCAGCUCUUUUGCUUUGUUUUUUUUAUUCUGCCAUGUCUUCACGGCUGGUUCUCAUAUUUGAUAAAGUUAUUGAUUUCUCGUCUUUUCCAUA